rnacentral:lncRNA from 1 species
GUGCGCCAGAAGAAGCUCCUUGAACCUCGUCCAAGUAAUCGCUGCCAAGUCGGUGUUGGGAUUGUCCUGGAUGUCCAACCACCAACGAUAGGCCUCGCUGUUCAGAAAGUGAGUGGCGAGCCAAACUCUGUCCAUCUCCUCGACGAAGGUAUCUCGAAACAGCUUCUCCAUGUGCAUCAACCACUUCUCAACAAUCCAGUGGUCGACGUUCUCGCCAUCGAACGUCCUCGGGCUGCACCUCCUGAACUCGCUGAGGCGAUCCAUAAGCCGAUCCCGCUCGGCUCCCUCGGCCAUCACGGGGAAUGCCGCCCCUAUCGUCGGUCUCUGAACAGGUAGUGCCGCAACUACCUACUCCCGAGGUGCGGUCGCCGGUGCCGCACGUGAAGAGCUGGGCGCGGGGGACUGCGCCCUCGGUGCGACGUCCACCACGGGUGCUGGCGGCGUGGGGCCCUGGGUCUCCCUCGAAGCUGCCGCCUGCUGAAGUAGGAGGUCCUCCAGAUGCUUCAUCCGCGCCUCCUGCCGCUAAGCCACCUCAGCCUGUCGCUGCGCCGCUGCCGUCUGUUGCGCCAACAGAUCAGUGAGAACCGCAAGCUGGGCUCUCAAGUCACGGACCUCACUAGAUCCGAAAGUAGCGGAGGUCUCGACCUCCUCGGGGUGUGCCGCAUCAUCCGCCCCGGCGGACUGGGAGCGUGUAAUCGGCAUCGUCACUACAAC